rnacentral:lncRNA from 1 species
GCCCGGCGCUCUUGGAACGGUGCCAUUGUACGAGAACGCAUCGAAGAAAAAGGCCACGAAGCACUUCUACGAGAACUACCGGCUCUCCUCAUCCCUGAGCAGCUCGGACGAGGACGAGACAGCAACGGGCUCUAGCGGAGAGAACGAGGAACUCGAGCACAUCUACGACUACGUAGAAAACGUCCACGAGGGAGGAAGUCCACUGGGCAAAUCUUACCCGGUCAACGUCUUCUUGAGCCUCAUUGAGGGGGCCGACAACACCAUCAGCCCGGAUCCGAACAUUUACGAGGUGCCCCCCGGCGCCAUCUUGAAUUUAGCCGGGUCGCCCCCCGACAAUCACUCCAUGCACAACAUAACGCCCCCCAACGGGUUCAAGGACACCCUCACCUGGGGCCGCCGCCACGAGCUUAGCUCUCUCCCGGUCGACGCUCUGUACUCGUCCGUCGUCAAGCCCAAGAGGAAGAAAGUGAAGAAAAGGCCCGGACUCGACGUGCUCAAGAAUCUCACUGCGGAGGAGGACGUCGAUGCACACACAGUGACAUCUACUGGUGAGGAAGUCAAAGAAAAGCCAGGGACUACCAAGGAGGUACAAGAGGUUGAGGCCCUGGAGGUGAACUCAAAGAACGAGUCCUUGAAAUUGGACGCUAAGAAGGAAGAAGAUGCGAAGGUGACUCUGAAGUAGCACUAGAGAAGCUGACUGAAGUUGCUCUUCUUGCAAAAAGCUCAGUGACUAGCAACAACGAGAAGGUACAAAAAGAAGAAGGAACGAGGGUAGCUGAAGUGAGAACCGAGUCUGAAGUGGAAAAGGCUACGAAAGAAUUGAGAAAUGCUGUGGGAAAAUCGGAAGGUCCAGGAGGCAGAACGAGGCUGUUGAACCCGCUGCUGAGGUUGAAAAAGUAAUCUCUGAGGUGACUGUUGCCGAGAAUAAGGCUGCAAAACCAGGGUGUCGGAUGGAGAAAAAGACGAAAGAGAGACCGGCGAGAAAGCCCAAGCCUGCGAUCAAACCAGAAAGCACCGAUAAAGAGGCACCGGUAUUGCCAGAAGCUCUGGACAAAGCUGAAUUUGGCAAGGCUGUAGAUUCAAAACAGUCUUUCAAAGAAGAAAAUGCAGAAUUAAGCAGUGAAACACGAAGUGGCAAAAAUGUUGCAUCGGUUACUGAUGAGAGUAAAAUAAAGGAAAUUGAACCGUGCAAAGAGGCAGUGAUCAAAUCAAAGGAAGUCACAGCCAAAAAUUACGAAAGUUCAGAAAAGCGGAGUAAGUCACCGCAGAACAAAAUUAAAUCAGAUACUAACGAAAGGGCCAAAAAAUCAGAUGGAUCCCAGGGCACUCUAAGACGUAAGAAAGGAAAAGCCAAACAUGCACCGAACGUCAAGUCUCCUGAAGAGACAGCGUCUCCACCUGCGGGAGACUCGUGUCCCCCGGAGAGUAACUUAAAACCAACUUCCGUUAACAAGAAAAAACAGAAUAAAAACUCCCGACCAGAUCCUAAAGAAAAAAUGAAAGGUUCAAAAGCUCCCGCUAAGAGUGACAGGCCGAAAGCUGAAGAUUGUGACGUAGCGAGUCGACCUCCAAUAAUCCCGAUUCUGAAGAAGGUUGUCUACGAAAAACCAACUCCAAGCCAAGAGAGAUACCUCAAACGGCAGAUAAGUCACUCCCCGUUGGAAACCAUCGACCAAAGCGAUGAGAAAAAUAAAGCGAACAAACUAAUAACGCCUCCAGAAGCAUCUGCAAACAAGACUGAAAAAAAUAAUCAGGUCGGCGAAAUCCCUAAAAAUUCAACGUAUGAGCCAAAGGAAAAGUUAAGCACCGAGAUUAAAUUUUGCGGAAAAGACGAGACAUCAAAAGCGUUAGAUCUUGAUGACACAUCGCAUUUGUUUAUUGAGAAGGAGACAGAGCAGACGAAACUCACAAGUUUCUCUGAGAAUACUCAGCAAAAUACGCCCAUCGCCAUUGAAAUUUCUGACGACGGCACCUGGGGAUCAGCCGAUCCGAACUCUACCUCUGAAAAAGCUGAGACAGAAAGCUCUGAAAAGUCCGAGGAACUCAAAAGUUCAGACUUCCUAAACGCAAAUCUGUCUGCCGAGGACAUAAAAAUGCAGCAUGUAUUGUCCGAGUAUGGGAAUUCCUAUUUCAUUCAAACCGCCAACAAACCUGUUGAGAAGAAAAGUUCUAAACCAGCUGGCGCCAAUAAUCAUGUUGGGAAUAAAGGCAAAGUUCAAAGCUCUGCGCCGGCUCAGAAAUGCAGCCUUAGAGACGAGCUCAAACGCUUUGUAAGAGAGUCUGAGAUGGCUGCUCAGAGAGCUUUGGAAGCUGAGAAGGACCUUCCGAAAGAGCAGCUACCGGAAAAGAUUGUUGGGUCCGAAUUGACUCCGCAAGAAAUUCAUAAACUUGAGUCAGGUACGGAGGCAGAAGAUGCUGAAAUGUUGGCAAAGGGAAGGAAGGGCGUUCUUGAAAAGACGAUGGUCCGCGCUAAGAAGAGGGACAGCUGGAUUAAAGGUGAAGAUGUCACUUUAAGCACUGAUAAAGAGCGAAGAAUCGAUGAUUGGCUUUCAACUGGGGCGCAGCAGUUAAGCCUGCCCGCGAAGCUACCAGAGGAAAUCUACGACCUUGCCAUGGAUCCUAAUAUCUCUCUCUUGAUCACAAAAGAAGGCGAGAUCGUCUACGACUCGAUCAUCCAAAAUAAGCACAAGACGAAGACCUACUGGGAGCAGCUGAUGAUGGCCGCGGAGAUGGGGACGCAACCCCCGGCGCCGCCGCUGCUCAAGCAAUUCAACGGCGACUGCCAAGACGACAAGGCCCACAGCGAGAUCUCCGAGGACUUCUACGACGCCGAGUCGCACAACUCUCUUAACUCCCCGGAGCUCCACUCACUCGAGGCUGGCCUCGUCGGCCCCAAAAUCGUCGAGAAGGUGGCGAAGAAGCUGUUGGAAGCUGUGGAAUCACGCCCGACGAAGCGCGCCACGGAGGAGAGCGUGAUUGAGCGUGAGAUCAAGCUGCAGCGUGAGCGUGAGCUGGCGCUAGUGCGUGAGCGGGAGGCGGCGGCGGCCAAAGCGCAGGCGCGCGCCCCGGAGAUGAAGACCCUCGGAGGGAGCCUGAGCCCCGAGGUGACGACCGUGCUCAAGGAGGCCGACGACGAGUGGCGCCGCAGGAGCUGCAAGGACGAGGACCUCUUCAACAGCAUCCCCACCACCGACGAAGGCAACUGCUCCGAGUAUGGCAGCGAAGGCAAAGAUGACUUCAGCCCGGAAACAAACAACAGCCGUGUGAUGAGCCCCGAAGUGGAGAUGGGCGGUCAGAUCCACCAGCGGACCCAGUCAAUGGACUCGAUGAGCUCCGGGCACAGCUCCGGCUCCAGCUCCGGGCUCAGCUCGCACCUGGACUGCUCCUACGUGAGCGUCAACGCCAGACGAAGAGGCAUCACCGUCAAACCCCUCGACGAGCCAGAGGAAGAGAACUCCACCUUUUUCAGGAAUGAAAGAGAAACUCCUAUUGAGCGAGAAAUUCGAUUGGCCAGAGAAAGGGAAGAGGAAUUGCGAAGAGAGAAAAUAACAAUAUGAACAAUAUUAUAAAAUCCAAUGAGAAUCCGCCGACUCAUCAGCAGAAUAAAACCAUGAACUCUACAAACUUUAGUAGCCGAAAUAGUAUAAACAUAGAGCAAGAAUUACUCAUCAUUAAAGCAGAAGAAAUAUUGAUGUUCAAUCCAAGGUAAUUCGUCAUGAAUAUUCUUUAUUAUAACUGCUUAUUCUUUAUUAUUACUAAUAUUUAUUUAUUCUGCAUUUAAACUAAUGGCACAUAUGUAAUUUCUAAACUAACAAUGAGCUAGAUUGGAGUUGCUACUUGCAAAAUUUAGUCCAAUUAAAUAACUGUGCGUGUCCCUGGUUGGCUUGUAGCCUAUGCAGCAAAAUUGAAGGCGAGUUUUAAACGUGCGAUAUCAACAUUCACCACAGAAGGAUUUGCAACCUAUUCUACUCGAGACGCAUUGAUCUAAAGAAAUCUCGCAGAAAAAUGGAAAUGGACCGAUUAUUUUCCAAAGCACGUAAGCGCCAAUCUCUAUUUUGGCGGUACAGGGUUUGUUUUUUCUUUGUUUCCUCUGGUAUAAUAAAUCAUGUCUGAUUUCAAAAUAGCCUUUUAUUGAACAUACAUUUUUUUGGAAUUCGAAGAUUUUCAACAAAGCGAAUAAAACGGAGUUUCUUGUUUUUCUCGCAUGCGCAAUUUUGGCACUUACGUGAUUUGGAAGGUAAUCGGCUCACAUGAGGUCGCUUUUAAUGACUUUCCGGUGACAUAUGCGACUACACGUUCUUGUAUAGAGAAAAAAAAGGAGCUGUUUGCAUUUUGAGGUUUGUUUACCCUGUGACGUAGGUCCGUACAACCUGGCCAGCGUAAUCCGGAAUUCGAAGUAUGAAAAACGGACCAUAAUGUCCAAUUUUUUUGCAUUGAUCAACUCAUGAUAUAAUUUCAAACACUUUUUGUAGAAUCCCAAGUAGCAUUGUCAUCUACUUUCUAGGUGGCGCUCAUCAAGAAAAUGUCUACUUUCUAGAUAGAACAAUUUUCUUGAAAGGAAAUAGGUACAAAGUAGAUUUAGAAAAUAGACGCAAGAAAAUAGUAAGAAAAUACAUUUUUUCCUUGCAUUUUCUUAAAAGAAAACAUUCAGAAAUUGGCUAGAAAAUAAUUCUACUCUCAAUAAAUUUUCUAUCUUUUUUCCAAAUGGAAAGUUGGCAGAAAGUAGACCUAUGAAAUAGAUCUAUUUUCUUUGGUCAGACUUUUGACUCGCAAUGUUUUUUCUGUCUAUUUUCUAGAUACUCUAGAACUCUCAUUUUCUUGGUAUUUUCUAGAAGUUUUCUUAAUAUUUUUUUCUAGAAAAAAUCCUAUUUUGCUACUUGGGAUGACUUUUUUCCAUAAAUUACACCAUUUCUAAGAAAAUCGAUGAUAAACUCGUUGUAGGUACCGACCUACGUCGUCCAAGAUGCCCGAAAUGCAAACACCUCCUUUUUUUCUCUAUGAUGUUCUUGUGAAAUCACUCAUGUGUGCUCCUAUUCUUGUCGCAGGUUAACCAACUAAACAGCUUGAGCCAAAGAAGUAAGUCAAACGACAAGAAGCCGGCGCCACUGCAGCUGAAGAAGCACCUAUCUAAGAGCGUCGUGAACCUGAGCUGUGCAAAAGAACUCGAGAGCGAGCUGACCGUGCCAUCACCGACGAGCCCUGCCGCCCCCAACUCCCACUUCAAGAAGUUCGUCGGCGCCCCCGCCACGCAGAAGCGCGGGCUCAUGAAAAGGUUCCUGGAAUCGCGAGGCAAACUCGGCUCCACUUUCACCCUCAACGCUCCCGCUCUGAAUAGUGAACCAAUCAAAAAACUCUCCACCUUCAGUAGUCCCAACUCUAAUCAAAACUGUGUUUCUGUAGUCAAUGCGCCACCUCGCAAACAUUAUGUUAAGAAAUUCAGGUAUGUUUCGCAACAGUUCCAAGAUACGCACUUUUUCAGCAUUUUUUGGUUCCUCCACCCCCCCCCCCAUUUGAAACGCUGCUUAUCAGUGUUCGAAACUCUCUUUGGAGUUUCAGGAGCCAUGUGGCGCAUCAAGCUCGAUUUUUAGGGGCCAAAUUGACUUUUUGCCUAUGUAUCACGGCGCAUUUAGUGACAGAACUAGUAGCUGUUACUUGGGGGAAAUUUACUCAAAGUACCCUUCUGCUGUUGCAUUCUGCGUGUUGCAAUCCGGGUUGCCUAUCGUCUCGCCGAUAUUUCCUAAUGCGCGGUCUAGAUUGUAUAUUAUACGUCAAUGAAUAGUACCGACGCGAUACUGACUUCUCCUAGGCCCUAAAAAAAAAAAAAAAAAAAAAAAAAAAAAAAAAAAUCUGCAAGCCAGCGUCUUCAAAAUAUUAAACGCUGUGCACGGAUAAAAUAUUUCUCAUCAACAUGGCCGGAUUCACCUACUUGCCGCCCCCUUCUCAUUCGUUUUGAAACUCGAUAAAAACCAUCAAAUGAACGUGUCAGCGGGAAAGGGGUGCAUAAGGGUGAUUUCACGAUAAGAGGAAUAGUCGUGUCGCCGGGGGUUAUGAACGACACAGGGCAAAACGAUUGAAAACCAAAUUAAUAAAUCAAUAGAAAUGAUGUCCCUGAACCUAUCCAUGCUAAAAAAUAUGAUAAAUUAUCAUUAUAUUUCAUAAUAUGAGACUUUAAAGGCCGAAAAUGUCCGGUCGGUUACGCGUCGCCAACCCCAAUUUUGAAGCAAAAGAGCAAUUUGCGGUAACAAAUCAGUACUGAUCAUGAACUCUUUGGCAAUAUUUGCUGAAAAGAGACUCUAAUGUUCCAGAAAAUUGCCAGUUUGAACUAAAAUGUUCAUUAUUGAGCGAGAAAAGUUAUUAGAAAGAGGUGUCGCCACAUUUGGCAACAAAUUUUUGCAGUUGUAUUAAGUGCAGUGUUUAUCACGCCAGAUGGAGUCAGGAGUUUCAAAACUGCCAUCAAAUUGUUCGCUGAAGUCUUCUCGACAAAACCAUCACUCAUAAGUCAGUUUUUUUUACAAUGAAAACUUUAAUUAUUAUGAAAACCAGUGAUUUUUAGGUGUGUAGCACUAAUUCCUCACUACGCAAAAACCUCAAUUUAAUAUUAUUAAACUAAAAGGAAGUCUCCAAAGUUUAGAAAACUUUUAAGGCAGCAUUAAUUCCACCUCAUAACUCAAGAAUUGCCAAGUUUCGUCUUUUGUAUCAUCUUUUAUCUCACAUUUUCAAGUGUCGGUUACGCUGUGUCGGUUACGUAACCGACACAAUUUGGCAAGGCCGCCAUGUUUGCGUGGACCUCCAGCAGUCCCGCGGGAAGCGCUGAUACCUGAUUCAAUGGCUUGUUUAUCAAUCACUUUAACUUUGCAUUGAAUCAAAAUAAAGCGUGCCAAAGCUGGAAAAAGGAAGUUUAAUACCUUUUAAAUGAGGUCAUGAAAUCCUGUUAAAAUUGGUGCACUUUUAUUUUCAAGGUAUUUCACAUUUUAACUAUUCCUGUUAUCGUGAAAUCACCCGUAAGAUGCAUUUACUCGUGUUGAACACAUUUUUUGGGAAAGCUCUGUCAAUACUACUAGCAAAAGUUCACGAAACUUUGCGCGAAAGUUAAGUUCCAUAAACCUAUCUCUGUGUGGACAAGGCCCUCCAUUCAUAAGAAAUGAACGAAAAAUUAUGAAAGAACAAACAUAAAUGUGGUUCAAUGAUUUUAUAUUCCGCCGCCGCGCCGCCGCGCAGACCGCACCGUUUUGAACGCAAUGCGUGAAGUAUUCACGCAGUCUUGUAGGCGCUAUCAGUCUCCCGCUGACCGCAAUGACCGCACUUUGUUUGAUGCAAUGCGUGAAGUAUUCGUGCAGUCUUGUAGGCGCUAAUGUGUGUUACAUGCCGAUUGCCGCGCCGCGCCGCGCCGAGGGCUUCUCCUUUACAUCUCAAGUCCUCGUUAUCAUUUCUCUCUAAGUCGCGCCGUUCUAGGCCAAAUUGCGUGUUUGGUUUCUCUCGUAACUCGACUUAUUGAGGGUGCUGUCUCUUGUACAUAUAACUAAGAGACGACAAAAUUAGAAAUUACUAUACUCUAAGGAAAUGAGAGAUUUUAUCGCCUUUUCUCGUUUGUAAUUUUGUUUUUAUAAAUCCGAUUUUGUUGUAUACCUUCACUUUAAAAAAUUGCAGAUUUUUGCCGCCAUAGGCCGCGGCCCAUGUGGCCACCCCCUUAAUCCGGCCCUGCUCAUCAAUAAGGAGUCUUUAAUAAAAGUUCAAUUUUGUUUCAGAACAAAGAAGAAAUAGUAGCAUUGGAACUAGGCCUGGUUACAAGUCGGCAGAAGAAAAAAUUCAAAAUGAAUUGAUGGAAAUGAGAAGACGAGAGGAAGAGCUGAG